ensembl:lincRNA
UUAUUAAUCAUGUGACAUAGAACUAUUAGUAAAGUCUGAAUCAAAACUUGGAUUUGGUUUUUCUCAUUUUCAAAAUGGUAAUAAGUUGAUUUUGCUUUAAAACAGUAAGUCUGAAAUAACCACAAAAUAGCAAAACACUGUCUCAAAUCCUAAUGUCACAGUUUUCAUUUAUCCUUGGUCAUGGAUAUAGAUCUACGGGGAAAAUUAAUUGUUUCUAUUUAUUCUAUCCUAGUUACAAUAAUCCUUAACUUUAAGUAUUGUACCUCCCUUUUUCUUAGUACUUAGAGUAGAAAACCAGAGAAGCAAAUCCAUUUAUUUUACUAGAAAGAAAAUUCUUACUUGUUUUAUCUAGAACCAUGAAAAAGAAGUGGUAUCACAAAUCUGCUUAGUUUUUUUGGACUUGAAGCGUAGAGUCGAAGGCUUUUGAGAUUCCACAAUGCUUGGAAGAAAAUGUGGAUGUCUCCAGAGAGGCCAUACCUAAUGAGGAGCUCCCAACAAAUGGCAACUGAUGUUACCUACAACCGAAUACGUCAAGAAGGAGCUUUGCCCAUGCGUUCUGCCACCUUCUGCCAGGAAUUACACCUGUCCCACCCCGUCAAGUCUCCUGAAUGUCCAGGUAAAGAUUUAUUUUUCCUUUGGGUCUCAAAAAUGUAUUCUAGUCACCCUUCACUAGAUAUGGAUUCCCUG